CAAACACAAACCUCAAAUUAGAGAAAUAAUAAUAACAAUAAUAACAAAUUAUCGGAGAUUUAAUUAAAAGUAGAUCGACGUACCUCUCCUGGAAGAGAUGGAAAAGUAAUUGUCGGAUGCGAAAGUGAUGAAAUUGGAAUCUUUAUGUGCCGCGAUCGGAGUGAAAAUUGGGAGUAGGUUUAGAUGGAUGGUGAAGCAAGUGUUUUAAUUUAGGGUUCAGAGUUCAAAGUGAGAGGAGAUGGGAGCUUCGGUCAUUAUUACUCGUUAACAAGCUGCUGCGAGAACAUGUGUGACUUAGGGUUGGAUAAAUGUUGGGUCAAUUGGCCCAUUUUGGCCCAAGC
rnacentral:lncRNA from 1 species